rnacentral:rRNA from 1 species
GUGAGGAAUAUUGGUCAAUGGGCGAGAGCCUGAACCAGCCAAGUCGCGUGAAGGAAGACGGCCCUACGGGUUGUAAACUUCUUUUGCAAUGGAAUAAAAAGAGUUACGUGUAAUUCAUUGUAUGUACAUUGCGAAUAAGGAUCGGCUAACUCCGUGCCAGCAGCCGCGGUAAUACGGAGGAUCCGAGCGUUAUCCGGAUUUAUUGGGUUUAAAUGGUGCGUAGGCGGAUUGGAAAGUCAGCGGUGAAAGUUUGCAGCUUAACUGUAAAAUUGCCAUUGAAACUGUCAGUCUUGAGUGCAAAUGAGGUAGGCGGAAUGUGUUGUGUAGCGGUGAAAUGCAUAGAUAUAACACAGAACACCAAUUGCGAAGGCAGCUUACUGGGAUGCAACUGACGCUGAGGCACGAAAGCGUGGGGAUCAAACAGGAUUAGAAACCCGGGUAGUCC